UCUUAUGGAUGAGCAAAGAAAGUGGUUUCUUGAGAUAGAAUUUAUUCCUGGUGAAGGUGCCGUGAA
rnacentral:pre_miRNA from 1 species